CCUACGGGAGGCAGCAGUGGGGAAUUUUGGACAAUGGGCGCAAGCCUGAUCCAGCAAUGCCGCGUGAGUGAAGAAGGCCUUCGGGUUGUAAAGCUCUUUUGUCAGGGAAGAAACGGUGGGGGCUAAUAUCUCCUACUAAUGACGGUACCUGAAGAAUAAGCACCGGCUAACUACGUGCCAGCAGCCGCGGUAAUACGUAGGGUGCAAGCGUUAAUCGGAAUUACUGGGCGUAAAGCGUGCGCAGGCGGUUUUGUAAGUCUGUCGUGAAAGCCCCGGGCUCAACCUGGGAAUUGCGAUGGAGACUGCAAGGCUUGAAUCUGGCAGAGGGGGGUUAGAAUUCCACGUGUAGCAGUGAAAUGCGUAGAGAUGUGGAGGAACACCGAUGGCGAAGGCAGCCCCCUGGGUCAAGAUUGACGCUCAUGCACGAAAGCGUGGGGAGCAAACAGGAUUAGAUACCCUGGUAGUCCACGCCCUAAACGGAUGUCUACUAGUUGUACGGUUUUAAUUAACGUUGGUAACGCAGCUACGUCGUGAGUAGACCGCCGUCGGUAGGUACGGUCGCGAGAGUUAAACGUUAAACGUAGUAGUAGACGGACGUGAGACGUGCCGACGGACGACGACGAGGGAGGAGG
rnacentral:rRNA from 1 species